UAAUAGUUUAAAAGAAUUUUUUUUAUAUUUUUUUUAAUUUAAAAAAAAAUUAUUUCAAUAAAUUAAAGUUUGAUUGGAUUUAUUAAAGAUUACUUGAGGCUUAUUUAAAGCUCUAUUAAACUCGGUAGAAUUAUUUUUAUAUUAUUACUUAUCUUCAAAACUAAAUAUCUGGUGUAUUUUCAAGUAAGAAUAUAUGACAAGUAAUAUGAUCAAGUUUGAUAUUAUAAUCUUAAAAGAUAUUCUUGAUGUUUGGUGAUUUUAUUAAAGGUAAG
rnacentral:lncRNA from 1 species